rnacentral:rRNA from 1 species
UACGAAGGGGGCUAGCGUUGCUCGGAAUCACUGGGCGUAAAGGGUGCGUAGGCGGGUUUUUAAGUCAGAGGUGAAAUCCUGGAGCUCAACUCCAGAACUGCCUUUGAUACUGAAAGUCUUGAGUAUGGGAGAGGUGAGUGGAACUGCGAGUGUAGAGGUGAAAUUCGUAGAUAUUCGCAAGAACACCAGUGGCGAAGGCGGCUCACUGGCCCAUAACUGACGCUGAGGCACGAAAGCGUGGGGAGCAA